CAGCCCGCGGGAAUACGUAGGUGGCAAGCGUUGUCCGGAAUUAUUGGGCGUAAAGGGCUCGCAGGCGGUUUCUUAAGUCUGAUGUGAAAGCCCCCGGCUCAACCGGGGAGGGUCAUUGGAAACUGGGAAACUUGAGUGUAGAAGAGGAGAGUGGAAUUCCACGUAUAGCGGUGAAAUGCGUAGAGAUGUGGAGGAACACCAGUGGCGAAGGCGACUCUCUGGUCUGUAACUGACGCUGAGGAGCGAAAGCGUGGGGAGCGAACAGGAUUAGAUACCCCCGUAGUCCCUGUCUCUUAUACAU
rnacentral:rRNA from 1 species